UACGGUGGGAGCAAGCGUUGUUCGGAUUUACUGGGCGUAAAGGGCGCGUAGGCGGCCACCGCAAGUCGACUGUGAAAUCUCCGGGCUUAACCCGGAAAGGUCAGCCGAUACUGCGGGGCUAGAGUGCAGAAGGGGCAACUGGAAUUCUCGGUGUAGCGGUGAAAUGCGUAGAUAUCGAGAGGAACACCUGCGGCGAAGGCGGGUUGCUGGGCUGACACUGACGCUGAGGCGCGAAAGCUAGGGGAGCGAAUGGG
rnacentral:rRNA from 1 species